AACAUUUCCAAUAAAAUUAUGACAGGUGAAAAACGACUGCAAUUGCAUCAAGAACCUGUGAGCUGUGACAGUCAGACUUACCAUUCAAAGAAAAUGCAACUCUUGCACAUAAACUUAGGUGUUCGGUGGAGACGUUGUGAUAAGACCGAAAUCGUGACAACUGAUUUGGGCUGAUCAAUCUAAUGCAAAUCUACUCAGACAAUAAGUACGAGAUAAAUAAAAAGACACAAAAUCAACAUUUUAGUUGUAUUCAGGUGAUGAUGACUGAAAAACUAAUUCAUGGUUUACAUUUAUGUUAUCUGCGAAACAAUCCAUUCCAUCAUGUUUGUUAAUAUUUAAAUGGAUGUGAAAGAACAAUCAGAGAAGUCUGCUGUAGCUGAAUGUGCACUGUUAGAUGGAAAUCACAAGAUAAAAUUCCAAGAUACACAAUUGACAACCAGAUAUCACAAGAGAAUGAUUAGGGAAGCAAUUGGAAUCCAUAAUCAUGGAAAUAACUUCAAUAGAAAAGAAGCUUUGAAGAUGAAUAAAAUAUGGAGACCAAAAUCGCUAAGCAGACAAGAAUGGCCAACAAAAAAAAAAAAACAAAAUUUCUAGAACAUCAGUUGUUCAAGUUGUCAUUUAGUUGCCAAUCAGAUAUCCAAGUGACAUGAUUCAAAUCAGACCUCUGAAGAUGCUAGCCACUCGUGCUAGUGGACCCCAACAACUAUAGAUAUGGAAAGAAUAGUCAUGAAAGCCUCAACCUUUAUAAUAUGUUUAAGAUAUAAAUAUCUGAAGAACUAAACUGAGGUUCACAUUUAUGUGGCUGUGUUUAUCAGUAUUCAAAUAAAUCUGAAACCAAAAUGUCUGUGAUAUCAAUGCCUGAAGAACUAAACAGAUGUUCAUCUAUAUAUGGCUUAUCAGUAUUCAAAUAAAUCUGAAACCAAAAUGUUUAUGGUGAUGAUGAUUGAAAAAUUGAUGAUGGUUGAUGGUUUACAUUUAGUGUGAAACAAUCCAUUGUUUAUCAAUCUUCAAAUAAAUCUAAAAGGUAUUAUGACAAGUGAUAGGACGUACAUGGAUUCUUCCAGUUGUCUUCAUCUAUAGUUUUAAUUUCAAUAAAUGAAUAAUUUUUGUACAUGUAUAAAAUCGUAAUAUACAAUUUAGUCAAUUUAAGGUUUAUAACCUGCUGCUCCAUAAACAUUGUAGUAUGUUAAGUUGACUAUUAUUACUGGUUGUGUAGUAGUGACGGUUGUUAAUUUGUCAUAACAUUUCCUUCAGGUUUGAAAUUGCUCAAUUAAAUUGAUUUAUUUGAGCUGUCUAUGACUACUGAAGGUAUUCGUUCAUGGUGUCGUUAUUUAUUUAUUAUUUCGUGCUUCAAAUAAUGCCAAAACUUCUAUCUAUUUUCACUAGAUACACGAUGCACUUGAACAAGUUUGUGAAUCGUUUGUUGUAGAUAUUACAGGUGAUGUUCUCGUUGAAUAUGUAGAUGUUAGUUUCAAAUUUUCGAGUAUUUUCCAAAUUUUUCAGGUCGGACGAAUCGAAGUGAUGGUGUUUAUCAUCUUUGAUACAUAUUUUUCGUUUCAUUAAUAAUUCUUGAAUAAUUAAUCCAGAGAUAAUUCACGAUUUAGUUCGCUCUCGGAAUAUUUAGUAAGUUUCUUCUUUUGAAGUAUAUCUGUUACGGUAAAUGUACACCCUUGGGAGUGAAAAAUGUGUACAUUUUUCGGCAAAUGUGUACUUUUGCCUUCACGUUUUGGUAAAUGUAUAUUCUUACCUUCAUGUUUUAAGAAAAGUUGGAAUACAAAUAAAUUAAAAAUGUUGUUGCAGUAAAAAAAUAUUUAUUUAAAUAAACAUAAUACAAAAGGCUUUAAUAACGAAAAUUAUUUUAAUUAAAAAAUGGAAAUGACAAACGAAACAUACUUUUCUUUGCAUAUUAUAUAAUAUUCCUAAAUACAAUUUUCGUCCUACUUUUUCAGGACCAAUACGAUGGGAAUCAAACAAAUAAUAACAUACUUUAUUAUAACAGUUAAAUUUUAUAAAACUGUAAAGGAACAUAUAGAAAUUUCAUAAUGAAAAAAGUUUUAUUUGUUUGAACAAGAAUUGCUAUUGUGACACAUGGAAUUACAUAAUAUUCCAGCAUUUUUACAACUGCAUUUUUGUAGGAACAUGUUCCUUUACAGAUGCAUCUUUUAAAACCGUUUAAAACAGAAUUUAGCUCAAAACUUCCAUCUUUAUCUUGAAUUUGGUUGCAUAAUAAACCAUCAUCCAAAAUUAUGUCCAACGUUUUAAUGGAAAAUUCAUCGUUUCCUGCGACUUUUGCUGUGUGGUGAAUUGGCUGUGUGUUCUCCUUCUAGUAAUUGCUCUAACUCUUCUUCUGUUUCCAGCUGUUCAACAGAUUUCAUAGGUAAAUUUGAUGUUUUCAAACCCAAUUUCAUUUUUGUUCCGAAUAAAGCUUCAUAGGGAGUUUGCUUUAUACCCUCAUGAAAAGCUCUAUUUUUCAACAGUUGAACAUAUUUUAUUUUGUUCUGGGUCCCACAACUUUGUCCAUACCGCUUCAUUUCCGUCACUGGUAAUGUUCUCUGAAUUGGGCAGUCUUCUGCCGUUUUAUUUCCUUUUAUUUUUUUUGUAGUACAUUUAAGUUGUCUGCGGCUCCACCUCGGCCUGCCAUCCAAUAUGUCUGGUGUGGUCGGCCACCUUCGUCACUACCGCGAUGUGCCUCCGGAUCCUCUCGAAGUGGACGAUGUGUCGAUUAGUGACCCAGGACCUACUGGAUCGGUCGUCGGAACAAUUCUCGACCCCUUUUGACAUGGGGCCUUCGACAAUGGCCUCGUGCCAUUUGGAGGCCGACGGGACGUCGCCAGCCAGCUGUAAGUGGAGGAUCUUCACCGCGGCAUUGAUGGUCCUAUCCGCGUCUUUAAGAAGGGUGCCUGUCGUCUUGGUGUUAUGCCGGCCGUAAAGAACUUUGGGUAUCAGGAACUCCCUCAGCAGUGCAAUCUUCUGGUCCGGCUUACGUGGGGCCCGCUGUAGCGCAGCGCACCAAUACUGCAAGUUGCAGACGGACGGCUUGUUGAUUCCGGUUGGACCAAAACGGUGGGCCAAGUAUUUGAAGGUGGACAAUACUUAGACCACAGCAAUAGGUUCGGAUAAAUCCCACAAAUUUUUAAAUAAUUGUUGUGCAGAAGGUUCCUUGACACGAACUUUCUGUAAACCACUGGAUAUUCUUCGUGGGUUUAGUUAAUCCAGAAAUAAAUCACAAUUUACUCUUCUCUAGAAAUAUUUAGUAAGUUUCAUCCCUUGGUUCAGCAUUUGAUUCUUUAUUCAUUAUGGAGAUAUAAAGUUUCUGUCUGUUUUUUUUAUUUUUAAUAAAAAUGUACUAAUUUGUCUUGACAAACGUUUAGACGUUUGUCGGUAGUUGUUUGUCAAUGGCAAAUGGUGAUUUUCAAUUUGAUUGUUAAUUGUUUUAUUUGUUGUUUCAAAAUUUUUAUUUUUUAUUUACACAUGAUUUAUGAAAUUAAAAUAUAUUUUAAAUUCGAGAUGUACUCCACCAGUUCUCCGGUAACAGGUUCGGAUAAAUCCCACAAAUUUUUAAAUAAUUGUUGUGCAGAGGUUCCUUGACACGAAGUUUCUGUAAACCACUGAAUAUUCUUCGUGGGUUUAGUUAAUCCAGAAAUAAAUCACAAUUUACUCUUCUCUAGAAAUAUUUAGUAAGUUUCAUCCCUUGGUUCAGCAUUUGAUUCUUUAUUCAUUAUGGAGAUAUAAAGUUUCUGUCUGUUUUUUUUAUUUUUAAUAAAAAUGUACUAAUUUGUCUUGACAAACGUUUAGACGUUUGUCGGUAGUUGUUUGUCAAUGGCAAAUGGUGAUUUUCAAUUUGA